CAAUUUCCAAACAACUUUCUCUAGAUUUCACCCUUUAAAAGUCAUGCCGAAGUAGAUAAUUACUUUUUGAUAACUGGUCCAAGUUCUAGAUAAAGCAGUUUGUGGCAGUGCCCUCAAAUUAAUAGUCAUUCUGUGAAUUCAUUAUAUCCAUAUAUGCAAAUACAAAUUCAGUGCAAAUUUAUAAGACACUGAAUGGCUAAUGAUAACCAUUUUCACUACGACUAUAAUAUGACGAUAUUGUGUAAUAAUAAAACAAGAACAUAGUAGAAAUGGUAAUGUUGAAGGCAUUCUCCAACCAGUUUUUCCUUUGAUUUUCCAAUCACUUGGGGCAGUUGCUGAAGGCACUGUUUUCCCUAUUUUGCAUGUGAAUAAACGGGGGCUCCGGGGCGUUAUUGGUUUAACCUGACUCCUUUCCAACGCUGCCACACAGUGAUCAAAAUCCUAGGAUGGCCUUUUUCCUGUCUUCUUUUUCUUUCCCCACAGCCGGUGUAAGAAGUUUACGUAGAAUAGGUGGUUGAUAGAAACGAGCCAGAACCACUCAAUGCGUAAAUUGAUCGGUGCUUGUUUGUAAUACUUUUAGUGCCGCAGGUAUUUCUGCAAUUCACGGCUGCCUUAAAUGUGGAAUCCACUACUCUUAACACCAGUACCAAGAGACGUUUCCGGAUUUCUUGAUUCCCAGAAGGAUAAUUGCGUCUCUUCGCAGUGCGCAGUGGCCAGCAGUCCGACUGCUCUGGGCUCUGAAGCGAAGAGCGCUCGAGUCCUUCUCACUCGCCUGGUGCCCAAGGAGGAAAGGAGGGCGCGGGCUCCUCUUCAGCCUCAUCUACCUCCUGCCUCUUGUUCUUCUUUAGAAAGCCAGGUGGCGCUAACCCUCAAUCCCUGCUAGAGCUGGAGGAUUUCCUUGCUUGCUCGGAGUAGAGCGAAGAGGUGAAGAGCGCACUCCGCUUUGGCACUUUCUCUCUGCUUCUUCCGCUCUUUGGAAACGUAAAUUUGCUUUUUUCUUCUUCCGCACCUCUCGCAGGAUGACGGCAACCCUAAAGGAAAACGGAGUGUCCUGUGUGCCACGUGGAUCUUGGGGAAAGGAAAUGAUUAAAGCCAUGAGGUUUCCUGGUUCUUCGCGGCGUUUAAUGUGGGUUUUGAUUUGGAGGAAGAAGAGCCAAAAGAGGUUAAGGUUCCACUCUACGGCAUCUUGAAUCUGACUGAUGCAGACGAACUGUGGGGCCGGUGGGCGCUCGCGCCUGGGUGUGCACGUACCUGUGGGUGCAGGAUCAUGUCGCCGUGUCGUGUGGGUGGCCUCUUCCUAAGUGACCAAGUAUAUGCGUGCUUAUAAAGAAGAAGAAAUUUCCCCAGCUGUAAAAGGGCGGCUUUGAGGUUCUCUCAUGACAGCUGAAGGGUCUAUGCCAAUUGCCACCACCAAAUUACUCAUCCAGCCAAGUUGCGCCCAUCAGACUUACAGCUGACCCACAGUCAACCUGCAGCUCUCAUGAAACAUGAGCAAGAAGUAAAUAUUUGUUUUUUAAGCCACCACCAAAUUAUUCAUGUGGCAAUCCACACUGACCACUGAGACAACCAGAAUGAACAGGCCCUUAUAGAAACACAGACAUAAAAGUAUUUGCAGGUCCAAGGUGGUAUCACUCUAGCCCAAUUCCUUUGGAGGCUUAGGAGGCAACUGGGGCAUGCUGGAAACUUGAGGAGCCUGGAAUUCAAGAACUAUGGAUUCAAUUCUGUUUCUAAAUUCUGCAUAUAUUCCUAAUCUAUAAAAUGAGGCAGCUGUCUAAAUGAUCUCUAAAGUUCCUUCCUGUGCUAAAGAUCCUCAAUUUGGAAUAAAACAUGCCUGUAGAUUCUUGUUUUUUCUCCAGAGGUGCUGUUUAGUUUUAACACCAGGUGGCGCUAGAUAACAACUAAAUGGAAAAAGACAUAGGCUGUGUGUGUGUGUGUGUGUGUGUGUGUGUGUGUGUGUGUGUGU